AUUGAACGCUGGCGGCAGGCCUAACACAUGCAAGUCGAACGAGUGGCGGACGGGUGAGUAAUGUCUGGGAAACUGCCUGAUGGAGGGGGAUAACUACUGGAAACGGUAGCUAAUACCGCAUACCAUCGGAUGUGCCCAGAGGGGUUUAGCUUGUAGUGGGGGUAACGGCUAACAAAGGCGCCGAUCCCUAGCUGGUCUCAUAGGAUGACCAGCCACACUGGAACGUAGACACGGUCCAGACUCCUACGGGAGGCAGCAGUGGGGAAUAUUGCACAAUGGGCGCAAGCCUGAUGCAGCCAUGCCGCGUGUAUGAAGAAGGCCUUCGGGUUGUAAAGUACUUUCAGCGGGGAGGCGUUACCCGCAGAAGAAGCACCGGCUAACUCCGUGCCAGCAGCCGCGGUAAUUC
rnacentral:rRNA from 1 species